CAUGAUUUGAUCGUCUCGGCUCCUCAGCGUAAAACCUGAAUGAAUGGAUGCACGCUGUCACCUUAUAUACCCCAUAGGCACAGGGAGUGGCUCAGCAUGCAAAAUCCACUAGCCAAUUUUCAUUGGCGUUUUCUCUUAAACUCAGAGAUGAUUGGCCUCCCAAGUGAGACCCCAUAUGUUGUUCUACAUAACGUCUCUGUUCCCUCCAUCAGGGAACGAGGGUUAUGUACAUCACCGAGAUGUUUUUACAUUUAAGCAUUGGGUGGAUUAAGAGACCUAAAAUAUGCUCAUGCAGAAUAAGGCAUUAAUAUUUGCUUUAUAAGUACUAAUAAAGAGCCAAUAUGCUAGUAAUCUGCAUGCUAACAAGCAACUAGUUGAUAAUAAAAAUUGUUCCUUAAAAUAAAGUGUUACCAAAAUAUAUAUACCAAGAAUAUGUAAUAAUAAUGAAAAACAAAACAUACAAGUGUUUAGUAGGCAGAAUUAGCAGAAUACUUUUCUAAACAUAGAAAAAGGCAGACUUUUUUUCUUCCAUUUUAUAUAGGAUUUUGAUCAAAUACAGUUAAACAUAUAUGAUAUUUUUUAUCAAAAUGCUGACAGUCUCUUGUUUGUUUUCACAAGCACUGCAGUGAAUGGGUGUCGUCAGAAUGAGAGUCCAAACUGCUGAUAAAAAUAUUACUAUAAUCCACAAGUAAUGCACAGCCGUCCAUCAGUUAACAUUUUGAAGAGACAAAAUAUGCAUGUUUGCAAGGAACAAAUUCGUUAUUAAGUUGUUUUUAACUAACAACCAUUGCUUUUGGCUCAAAUUGGAGUCCAUAAUCCAUAAUAAUGUUUCCUCCAGUGAAAAAAUGGUCAGGAAUCUGCACCGAUCAAGCACUGUUUACAAGCCAAAACAGCUCUAAACAAAUAUGUGGCUGGAUUUUGAAAAGUUUUUGUCUUCUCCAGAUGUUAACUGAUGGACUAGAGUGCUGUGGAUUACUUGUGGAUUAUUGUGAUGUUUUUAUCAGCUGUUUGGACUCUCAUUCUGUAUCUCAGACAAAUAUUAUCCUCCUAACAAACCACACAUCAAUGGAAAUAUUAUUUUUUAUUCAAUUGUAA
ensembl:lncRNA